rnacentral:rRNA from 1 species
AACCUUUGACAUGGUGGUCGCGGAUAGCGGAGACACAUUC